GGAAUCUUCCACAAUGGGCGAAAGCCUGAUGGAGCAACGCCGCGUGUGUGAUGAAGGGUUUCGGCUCGUAAAACACUGUUGUAAGAGAAGAAUGACAUUGAGAGUAACUGUUCAAUGUGUGACGGUAUCUUACCAGAAAGGAACGGCUAAAUACGUGC
rnacentral:rRNA from 1 species